rnacentral:lncRNA from 1 species
AAAGUUUGUUUGGGUUUUUCUGUAAGAUGUUGUUGAAAAACCUGAACAAACCUUUUUGGCUCACCCAAUAUUUCUCCCUCUACUUUUUUGGUAACUCCUUGUUGGUGAGGGAUGAAUAACAAAUAGUAUCCCCCGAUAAUUUUUAACCUUUUUUCUCCUCUGAAGCACCUAUUUGCCAACAAAUGCCUCUUGGAGCUGUAAGUUCAUGGUGUCAGUCUGAAGAAUAAGCUUCGUAUUGACAUUGGAAGUUAAAUUAAAGUAGUAGAAAUCAACAGCUGGCUACGCACUGGCUGAAGAAGAUACACACUCCGAAGAGACAAAGGGGGACAUCCUGUGUCCCAUGGGCCCGAGGGAUAUGGAAGUAGCUGAGAGAGCUGGACCUGGGGGAUCCUGGUGGUGGAGAAGAAAGGCCAGUGCAACAGUCGCCUUGAAUCCACAGUCAAGGACCAGAAAGGAUGCUGCACAUUCCAUGUGCCAUGAAGCCAGAGAAAAGGAUGUUAGGCCCAAAUCUGCAUCGAAUAUUUUAUGAUGUUCUCCCAGCACCAGGACGAUACCCAGUGCUGAUGCACCUGUGUGUGAAGACAGAGUGACUUCCAUUUUGGCAUGUCUCUUGACUAUUCCACUUGAAGGCAUGUUGGCAUUCUACUCCCCAACUCACUCCCUGCCUGUAAGAAGAAGGUGGAAAGUUGGACUAAUUAUUGAUGUAUUCUUCCUGCUUUUAUCCCCACUCUCUUCUACAGACAGGGAACUAAAUCUUAAGUAGCUAAUAAAGGACUUUACUUAGUGUGGAAUAGCUCUCA